CCUAUCUGGUUGAUCCUGCCAGUAGUCAUAUGCUUGUCUCAAAGAUUAAGCCAUGCAUGUCUAAGUCCAAGCUGUGUUUACACGGCGAGACCGCGGACGGCUCAUUAAAUCAGUCGUGGUCCAAAUGGGCCAGUGCAAAUCCUACUUGGAUAACUGUGGUAAUUCCAGAGCUAAUACAUGCAACUGAUAUCCCGAAGGCGAUGGUUGUGCUUGCUUGUCUCGCGCUCUCACUGUUCUGACGGAUGCUUUUAUUAGACCAAGCCGCUGAGGACUUGAGACACUCUCUCCUGUCUGACUCGUGUAAUGGUGACUCUGGAUAACCAAUCUGGACAAGCGCACGUACUUCUCUUCCGAGCGAGACGGCGCUGCCACUUUCGAGUGUCUGCCUUAUCAGCUAUCAACCGUUCGUUAUGCGCGACCGAUGGCUUUGACGGGUAACGGGGAAUCAGGGUUCGAUUCCGGAGAGGCAGCCUAAGAGACGGCUACCACGUCCAAGGACGGCAGCAGGCACGCAAAUUACCCAAUCCCAGCAAAUGGGGGAGGUAGUGACGAAAUCUAACGAUGCGGGCGCCCUUUCUGGGGCCCCGCAAUCGGAAUGGGCACUUUCUAAACAACCUGUUGAGAACCUACUGAAGGGCAAGUCUGGUGCCAGCAGCCGCGGUAAUUCCAGCUUCAGCAGCAUCUAUUAAAGUUGCUGCGGCUAAAAGGCUCGCAGUUGAAUGUCUGUAUCGAGCGCAGGUCAGGUGGACGUUGGGGCGUGGAAGUACGGGCAGUUGGGGCGGUUGUUCGAAGAGGGCUUCGUGCACUCGACGGCGCUCUCCUUCGGCUUUUCCACACACCCCCGUCCGUGACAAGCCUCCUCGCUCGGGUACAUAACGGGAAUCGGUCAAACGGAGUGUGGUCUCGGAGGUCGAGGUGCGUGGCUUCGGUUGCGUGUCGCUUCUUCUUGGGCUGCGUUAAGCUCCAUCGGUUUCACGGUCACCUUGAGUAAAUCAGAGUGCUCAAAGCAGUCGUAGGGGCCUUGCGCCCUGUGGAACAGUCUUGACGGACUGACUUGGUUUUGCAUGGCAUGUCGGAAGACGACGUCGUGUGCUGGCUCAGAGGAUAAAUCAGUGGUACAAGCCAGCCUCGACGUAAUGAUUAAAAGGGACGGUCGAGGGCAUUGGUAUUGCGAGGCGAGAGGUGAAAUUCUGUGACCCCCGCAAGACCUCCUGAAGCGAAAGCGUCUGCCAAGGACGUUUUCAUUAAUCAUGAACGAAAGUUAGAGGAUCGAAGGCGAUCAGAUACCGCCCUAGUUCUAACCCUAAACGAUGCCAACCAUCAAUCCGCGCGUAGCACCCUUCUUAACGGGCUCGGCGGGCAGCUCCCCACUCACGGGAAACCAGAGCCUCUGGGUUCCGGGGGGAGUCUGGUUGCAAAGCUGAAACUUAAAGGAAUUGACGGAAAGGCACCACCAGGCGUGGGGCUGCGGCUUAAUUUGACUCAACACGGGCCAUCUCACCAGGCCAGCACUCUUGUACGAUUGACAGAUUGAGAGCUCUUUCUCGAUUCAGUGGAUGGUGGUGCAUGGCCGUUCUUAGUUGGUGGAGUGAUCUGUCUGGUUAAUUCCGAUAACGAACGAGACUCUCCCCUGCUAACUAGUCGGUUGGAUCUUGAUCAGCGGGUUGCGUGCCGAGUAACUCUCACUGCGUGUGUGUGUGUUUUCUCUUUUCUUGUCGGUGUGCGUUGCUUUACGGUGGCGUGCGCUGGUGGGGGAGGAGGGGGCCCGCGCGCGUCGUGUUGGAUGCCUUGGAUCACACUGCACCCCAAGUCCGCCGCUUAUGCUAUAACUCUUCUUAGAGGGAUUCACGGCACUGAAGCCGUAAGAGACUGAGAGCAAUAACAGGUCUGUGAUGCCCUUAGAUGCUCUGGGCCGCACGCGCGCUACAAUGCCGGGCACAGCAGGUGUUUCUCCUGCUCCGACAGGAGGGGUAACCCUCUGAAAGCCAGUGUUCUUGCAAGUGCUUCCUCCCUCGUGGAGUUGCACAGAGGCGUGCUUGGGCCUGGGACUUGCAAUUCUUUCCCACCAACGAGGAAUGCCUAGUAGCGGCGGGUCACUGAGCCCGCUGUGACUCAGUCCCUGCCCUUUGUACACACCGCCCGUCGCUACUACCGAUUGGGUGUACCAGUGAGAGCCUUGGACUGGCGUCCGUUGUUACUCGCAAGAGUGACAAGCGGGUCCGACGGAAAGAGGUCCGAACUGGUGCACUUAGAGGAAGUAAAAGUCGUAACAAGGUUUCCGUAGGUGAACCUGCGGAAGGAUCAUUA
rnacentral:rRNA from 1 species